GUCCACGCCGUAACGAUGGAUACUAGCUGUUGGGAGCGAUCUCAGUGGCUAAGCGAAGUGAUAAGUAUCCCACCUGGGAGUACGUUCGCAAGAAUGAACUCAAGGAUUGACGGGCCGGCACAAGCGGUGGAGCAUGUGGUUUAAUUCGAUGAUACGCGAGGAACCUUACCAAGGCUUAAAUGUAGAUUGACCGUUUUGGUAACAGAACUUUCGCAAGACAAUUUACAAGGUGCUGCAUGGUUGUCGU
rnacentral:rRNA from 1 species